UUGCUUUCUGCAGAUUUCUGUCCGGAAAACUUCAGUGUGUGUAGAUGUGAGGUUUGAAACUAACUGACUGAAUGUGCCUCAGACUGUGUUUCUAAUGCUGUGGUGAAUGGAGCAUAGAACAUAGAACAUGGAGCAUAGAACACGGAACACGGAACAUGGAACAUGGAGCACGGAACAUGGAACAUGGAACAUGGAUCAUGGAACAUGGAGAAAUCCUGAUGUCACCUGUCUAUGUUUACAGUGAAGGUAUCUAGAAUAUAGAAAUGAGCCUUUAAAGUAAACGUGUAUGUAGACGGUGUAUUUGUAUUGAUGGAGCUCAUCCACUUCACAUGGUGCAUAAAACACUUUGCUAUACCGUUUCUUUUUCUAUGACCCGUUCAUCUUGAUCAUGAAAGCAAAGGCUUUAAAGAAUCAAUAAAGAACGAUAUUUGAUUUUUGUCCCAAUGGAAAGCACAAAAUUUGGCUCAGGCCUCCAUUUUCUUUCAUUAACAUUACAUGAUUUGGAUGGAUUUUGUGUGUACAAAGAUUUUAAUAUGUUGGAUAUAGAAUAGUCCACCUGAAUUGGUUACAUUUGGUUCUAUUAGCUAAUUUAAGUGACUAAGUAUUUAACAUGAACUGACUGACCCGAGCCAGCUUUCGUCAUGCUAAUGUUAGCGAGAAUUAAUGAACAUUUAUUGAUUAAUUUACGUUUUGUGAAACAAUUGUUUGAAUCCAACAAUGUGUUAAACUUCUAAGAGCAAAAAUAGCCUUGAGAUAUCUUUACUGGCAAGUAUGUCAACGUUAGCUUACAUUUCUGUAAUGUUGGUGUCCAGUUAGCAUGUCUAACGUUAGCAUACCGAAGAUUUUGGCGGGCGGGACUGCCAUGGUUAAAUGUUCUAAUAUCAGUGGUGUAACGUUAGCUGCUUAUUAGAAAUUUUGCGCAUGCUUACAUUAGCUACAAGGUUUGCCCGGUCGUACUUUCUGGAUUACACCACAACCUCAAGAUUGCCAUGGCUGGUUCGACACCUGCAAGACUCAAGGUGAUUUUGGGAGAGAGCAACAUAGAGAAACUGACGCUUCCAAAUGGCCUACCAGAAUCGCUAGAUGAUCUUCACAGCAAGAUCAAGACUACCUUUGGGUUAAAGGGCAACCUACGACUCCAAUACAUGGACCAAGACUUUGGCAAUGACUUCUUCAAUCUCAAUUCUACAACUGACUUUCAGGAUUUGGGAACAAUUAAUGUGAUCCAGGAUACAAAUCCACCUUUGAUCAGUGCCACUGAGACCACAUCCUGUAGUUCUCCUUCAAUUGAGUCUGACGGUGUUUCCCAUUCAUCAAAUGACACAAUAAUGCUCUCAUCCCCAGAGUCUGUGUCAUCUCGAACCAAACAGUGGCCACAGGAGUUUCCAAUUCCAAAAUGUUCAUACGACACAGAGCGGCAGCUGGCAAAGGGGAAUGCUGAAUGACAUGGGAGAAACCAGAUGUUGACAGUCAACUCCCGAAUGAAAUCUGAUAUCCUGAAUGUCUAUGGGUGUGCCGCUCAAACUUCUUCUUCGCGCCUCUUUUUUUUCAGGCUACAUACUACUUUAGCGCAUCUCUGCCUCUCAGGUUUGAGAAGGAACUGCAACUCUAAACAAGAGUGCAGUUUACAUUUAGUGCCGUGGCCCGCCUCUGACCGGGCAUAUAGCCAAUCAUAUUUUAAGAUAUUGGGGUGGCACUUGGGGUGGCCAAUCAGAUUUCAGGGGUGGCCCGUGCCACCGUAGGCCACUCCCUGAACACGCCAGUGCCUCCUCCGCUUCGUGCUGUGCUGAAAAAUUUACCACAACAUAAGCGCCGCUGAAAACAUUACGUUGCAACCGGUCCGCCGUAUCCUAAAGAAUAAACAAAUGAAAAAGUAACCAAAUCCGUGAUUUCAAAGCCUUUUGUCCAGCUGUCAUGUUUAAUGAAGAGAGAGAUGCAGACACACAGGCAGAAAAUGUAAUGACAGUUUUACAAAUUAGACACGGUCACUAGUUUUGUUUAAUAUUGAGUUUUAAGUUGAGUUACAUGACAGUCUGGUGAGGGAUGUUGUGGUAUACCAUUAGUGUAAUGCUGCUUAUGCUAAAACAGUACAAAAAAUGUGUGUGUGUGUGUUGUCAGCUUUUGAUUAUUAUGCACAACAUCGUUUCUCAUAUGCAAAAUUUGCAGCACCACCCGCAGACUUCUGUGUAAUUCCACAGGCUUCUUGUAAUUUGCGACUUUGGGCUAUACAAAAUAAAUAAAUUGGAUUGAAUUAAAUGCUAAGAAAAGAGAGAUUUCAAAAGCAGAAGGACAAACAAAAUAUCCUACUGUGUUUUUUUAUUUGUUUACUUUAUUAGUAUUUUUACUUAAUUUUGGCGAUGGGUGCCCUUUUGUUUUAGUUUGAGCACCUGCCUCCCAAAAUGUCUGUGCACGUGCCCGGUGUCCUCUAGGGCAACAAAGUAUGACACAAGUCCAACAAGUCGAGGGAAACACGGUCCGAAGUGUGGUGUCGUCGAUCAGGAGUUUCAUGUUUGGUGUUCAGGGAGUCGGACACAAACAGAUUUCUGGUGUUUGGGUGGUCGGUGCCAUUUUGCCUGCAUCUUCUGUUUCCAUGGUGAGAGUCUGGAAGACAUGAAGCAACAGCUCCGUUACUUUGCCUUAAUGCCCUCGUAUUUCAACAAAUAUAUCGGAUUCAUCUUCUUGAUAAAAUGUCUGCAGAUGGAAUAUUAUAUUAUUGAAGACCUUUUGUUAAUGUUCCCAGUUUAACAAACAUCAUCAUUCAUUGAUUUCAACAAUGAUCAUCAUCGGAUUUUUAGGGGCUACAGAUCUUCCAAAGCAGCAUGUAAGUGAUUGGAUAUUUAUUUAUAUCAAAGUGUUAACAUUAGAGACUUCUUGAUCACUAACCCCCUGAUGCAGUCGUUGUUUAAAACAAUCCAGAGCUUUGUUUCAUGGUCUUCAAGGUGGGUAAGACUGAGGCAAUGGCUAAAGAUGCAUUUCCUUUUUUCAGAGUGUUAUAUCUUUUUUUGUGUUUUUCUUCUUAAGUAAAAAAUAUGUAUUACUGUGGACAGGUGUUGUGAAUUGCGUUUUCUUGUGCAUAAUUGUAUGUUAUAAUUCUAAUGCUGCUGUGAUGUCCAUAUGGCCACCAUUCAUUGUCACCUUUUAAAUGCAUUCGUUUAGUAAAUGGGAGGAAAUUAAUGGUUUUGAAUUAAUGGGGUGAUGUUUUCAAAAUGUAUCUCGGUGUCUUCGAGGAUUAUCGCACUUUUCCAGUUUGUUCUUUCUCUCCUUUACGCACCGACUGCGACACUUAAAACCCGAACGAAA
ensembl:lncRNA